rnacentral:tRNA from 1 species
GGCCCCUAAGACAAACUGGUUGCGUCGCCAGCCCUUCAAGCCGGAGAAGCGGGUUCGAGUCCCGCAGGGGCUA